CAUCAAAUCAUCGACUUGCUUGUACAAACUGUUAGUACAAAAUUAAUAAAAUGCCAAGGAACGGAAAAUUAUCUUUGUAAAUGAACAAUAAAAUAAAUAUGAGAGAUUAGGGAAGGAAGGAAGGGGAAUGAGCGAGUACCUCGAGCGGUGGCGGUGGUGGUGGGAUGCGUGUUCUCUGUUUUCAAAAUUAUGAAAUUUCCUUUCUGCAAGGCUAAGCUGGAGGCUCUUCCAAGGCUGACAAUUCAGUGGCUAUAAUGUUUAGAGGGUCACACAAAUGGGUGCAAGUGGAACCCAGACAACGUUCGAGUCCAGCGUCACAUCUUGCUUAUCCUCAGGGCUAGAAUAAUCUCAUUUAAACACCUCCCAGACCCUAAUGAACAGAUAAAAGACACUACCACCAGAAAACGACAUUUGUCUCGUGAUAUAAGCUAUAUAGAUACCGACAAUCCAACACCUUUGUCCACCACACCAGAGAAUAAGUCAACAUCGGCACAUUACGGUUACCAGGCGGCCAUCCUUCCUCGAUUGGAAGUUUCAAAGCGAACAUUUUUUGG
rnacentral:lncRNA from 1 species